CUCUCAGGUGCUGUGCAAUGGUGGGGUGAGUGGCAGCUCCAAGUCCUCACUCUUGGCAGCCUUGGUCUCCAGUACGCCCUCGGUAUUUUUGCCAUCUUCCGCAAGCCAGGUGCCCCACCGUGGGUCAGAUUUUUCACCUGGCUCGCGUUCCUGGGAAGCGAUGCCGUGGCGAUAUAUGCUCUCGCCACGCUCUUCAACCGGAAAAGGUAUAAUCAGCUACCCAGCUCUGUCUCUGAGCAUGACAGAUAUGGUCUGCAGGUGCUGUGGGCACCUAUCUUGCUGAUGCACCUUGGCGGGCAGGCUGGCAUAACAGCCUAUAAUAUCGAAGAUAACGAGCUAUGGAAGCGGUAUAUUGUUACCGCGCUGUCUCAGGUCAUGGUGGUUCUAUGGGUGCUCUACAAGUCAUGGGGUUCGCCACUGAGGACUAAGAGGUUUCAGGUCGUUGUUAUUUUGCUUUUCAUCGGUGGGAUUAUCAAAUGCCUUCAGAAGCCAUGGUCUCUUAAGAACGCUAGCUUUUCUAGCCUAGCUAAUUCUUGCGAUGAAUCUCAGAGGACUACAAGCAGAGAAGAAGAUCUUGAAAAAUAUGUUUUGGAAGCAAGGGUUUUUGUCCUAAGCGAAGAGCACCCCCCGAGAAGGUCUAAUAUGAGCUAUAUAUAUAAACCUGUGAUGCUAUUCCUAGACAUGGCAUAUCCCUAUCCUGACCGCCUUACUAAUAUGAAGUACUUUUUUGUGUGGCGCAAUGCAAAAGAUUAUAUUGAACUGGAGAGGAUACUCGCCAACAUUUUCGAAGUCCUCUACAUCAGAGAAGACAUGAAAAAUUAUAAACAAUGUUCACGCGGCUGGUUAUGUGGUAUGUUCACAUUUGUAUUGUGUUUCUAUACACUAAUUAUGGGGUUUCUUAUGACCCCCAUCAGUGCAAAAAAUAGAGUGGAUGGGAUUGUGACAGCUGUGCUAUUGUUUGGCACUACUGUCCUAGAGUUCCUUGCACCCAAAAUUAUGGGCUGGUAUAGAAAGAUCAAGUGGCCAGACACGAUGGCCCAACAUAGCUUAAUAGGAUACUUUGCCCGUAGCAGAAGGCACACCAUGUUAAUGAGAUUCGCGAGAUUCUUUCAAUGCAAAGACUUGCUUGACCAAAAUUGGCCCAUGAAGCCUAGUUACUCGUCUAUGCACAUCACAAAGCUAGUCCAUCAACAUAUUCGAGAUGGAUGGAAGGAGUACAUAAAAGACGCUGGGAGUUAUAGGGAGUUCAACGACAUAAGGGGGCAGUGGACACUCGUGCGCAAGAGUUGUGACGAAAGCCUGGGCUGGAGCUUAGAAAAGCCUUUCGAUGAGAGCGUCCUUCUCUGGCACAUUGCCACAGAUUUAUGCUUUCAUCAGAUGGACACAUCCCUUGGCCAUGAAUGUGCCUCUCGAUCUAGAGAAAUUUCCAAUUACAUGAUGCAUCUAUUGUUUCUGAAUCCUGAGAUGCUCAUGCCAGGCAGCCGGAGCAAUCUUUUCAAAUUUGUAUGUCGAGAACUCAGGGUCAUCCUUAAGGGUGAGGGCACAUCAGGUAAGGAGAAGAGGCUUGUGCAGAAAACAAUUGACAAUCUGAAGUCUAAUGAUGAUGCAAAAGAAACUUUCAUUCAUGAUGCUUGGUUACUUGCUCAAGGAUUGAUGGAUAUAGGUGAUGAGAGCAAGACGUGGAAGGUGAUCCAAGGCGUGUGGUUGGAGAUGCUCUGCUUUUCAGCUGGCAGAUGUCGAGGGUACUUGCAUGCCAAGUCUCUAGGCUCUGGUUUGGAGUAUCUCUCUUAUGUUUGGCUCCUCCUGGCACAUAUGGGGAUGGAGACAUUCUCAGAGAGGAUUCAACGUACCAUGUCAAUCAAUUUGUUGAAACAGAGAAGAGAGCGCCUUCGGAACACAGGGUCAGAU
rnacentral:rRNA from 1 species